rnacentral:rRNA from 1 species
UACAGAGGGUGCAAGCGUUGUUCGGAAUUAUUGGGCGUAAAGGGCGCGUAGGCGGUGCGGUAAGUCUGCAGUGAAAUCUCUGGGCUCAACUCAGAGUCUGCUGUGGAAACUGCCGUGCUUGAGUGUGGGAGAGGUGAGUGGAAUUCCCGGUGUAGCGGUGAAAUGCGUAGAUAUCAGGAGGAACACCUGUGGCGAAAGCGGCGCACUGGACCACAACUGACGCUGAGGCGCGAAAGCUAGGGGAGCAAACAGG